UUGGCGGUGUCCAGACGGCGUAAGAUGGCACCCGUGGAAGACAUGACGAAGCUGCGAAGACAAAAGCCCUAGAUAUUGACGGCUUGUAAGCCUAAAAGAUCUGGACCUCGGUUUGUACGAGUAUCGGCGCCGUGCUUAGUUCUACGAGGUGGCAACGGUGCAGUAAGGUCCGUGAGCAAGCCCAACUUCCGCUAAAGUGUGCUUGCCAAAAAAGAGCGUGACCCAUGGAAUAGGAAAGGGGGCUCGUGACGGAGUGGGUGAGGAGGUUCAGAUCGGAGUGCAAUAGGAGGGCCGCUAAUGUCGCCGCUCAGGAAGGCCGCUAACCUCGCCGCCGUCCUCCGCGCGCUCACGCCGCCUCUCCUACGCCCUCCCGACGCAGGGACACUAUCCCGCUGCGGGCGGCCCGUGGUGCGACGCCGGGACGCCCUCCUCCGCCGCCGCUCCUACGCCAGCCGCCCCCCUCCGCCACCGCUCCUACGCCAGCCGCCCUCCCUCCGCCGCCGGCCAUCUUCGACAAGGCUGCUUAACCCUCGAGGAGGACGUGCAGCUCUCGUGGCAGGCCGUGGUGCGCGCGCGCGUACGGCGCAGCCCCUCACGCUCGUCGCACCGCGACGGCCAGCGCGGGCGGUGGGUGUAGGACUGCGCCGUCGCACCAGCCGCCCCUGGGCAAGCACCGCAGCGCAACGGCCCAGCGCGCUCACGCCGCCGCUCCUACACCCUACCGACGUAGCCCGCCGGUGCAUCAGCUGUCUAUACCUCCGCCGGCGCUGUGAACUCUUCUCCCUCGCCGAUCACUACCCCGGCUCCCAACCCACGAUGGCAGCAGCGUGUGCCAGCGAGUCCUCUCGGCGGCCGAUACCUCCUGCAGCUCACCGCCACCGUCAGCGAGGGCGAAGACAAAAGUCCACGUCGGCGAGGACGAAAACGAGGCUCACAUAGUGCCGCAGCAGUCGACAGCUGGGGAGGUAAACCCCGAACGAGCUCCUUGUUCAGGUCAGGACCACGCACCCCUCAAGUCCGACCUCGCAAGAGGAAGGCUUGACUCUUCAAGCUAGCUACGGGUAGGACAAGGCUUGCUUUGCAAGCCAUGCCCCACGAGGGUCUGGCUUGCCAGCCCUCAAUAGCCGCAGGCAAAAUGGAAAGACCAAGUGAGCAGGAAGGGCUAGGCACAAGUCAACGACGUAGGCCGUUCUCGUUCCACGGGCAGAUGUAAAUACAGUUAGAACUACUGAACGAGAUGAGAGCUAAACACGAGGGUCUGGUUUUCUAAGUAUGCUCCCCUGUUAUCUGGGUAGAGGUUUUGAUUUUUUAAGCCUGGACGUGGUAUUUACCAACACUAAAAAAAUUCACUUACCAACACUAGAAGACCCUCGGAAAAAACACGCUGGACCAAAACCAAAAAUCCCCUUUUGAUUCGAAAUAAUUAGUAAGUGUACAUCACCCUAUGGCAAACCUAGCACUCCUACUCGGUUGGUUUACACCGUAGGGCCUGGCUCUCAUGCUCUCAAGAAUCGAUUUAGCACACGAAGCAGCAAUUGUAAAGCCGAAAGUUUUUAUUUUGAUGUUAAUUUUCAACAACGGGCUUCAAAC
rnacentral:rRNA from 1 species